CUGAGAAAGAUCUUGCUGAGAUUCAAGGUUCGGAGUUAACAAUCCCUUAUCCAAAAUGCUUGGAACCAGAAGUGUUUCAGAUCUCACAGAGUUUUUCAGUUUUUGGAAUAUUUGCAUGUACAUAAUGAGCUACCUAGGGGAUGUGACAGAGUCUAAGCCCGAAGCUCAUUCAUGUUUCAUGGACCCUGUGUGCAAAUGGCCUGAGGGUAAUGUUUGUAUUCCUGUGUUUGGACUACCACCCUCCACGUGAGGUCAGGUAUGGGAUUUUCACUUGUGGGAUCAUGUGCUCAAAAGGUUUUGCAUUACGGAGCAUUUCUGACUUUGUGUUUGCAGAUUUGGCUGCUCAGCCUGCAUAUGGGUCCCCAACUAUCCUCACAAUAUUUACUAAAGUCUGUUCUUUACCCACUAAGCUGCCCUGUUGCUUAUGUGUAGAGCAAACACCCACGUGAAACACA
rnacentral:lncRNA from 1 species